AGAGUUUGAUCCUGGCUCAGGAUGAACGCUAGCGGAGCGCUUAACACAUGCAAGUCGAACGGGUAUAUAGCAAUAUAUAUUAGUGGCAGACGGGCGAGUAACACGUGCAUAACCUGCCCUGGAGUAGAGGGCAACUGCGGAAACGCAGCUAAUCCUUUAUACGCUGUAGGAAAUGAGAAUACCUAUAGGAAAGAGCAAUCGCUCUAGGAGGGGUGCGCGGACCACCAGUUAGUUGGUAGGGUAAUGGCCUACCAAGACUAUGACGGAUAGCCGGCCUGAGAGGGUGACCGGCCGCAAUGGGACUGAGACACGGCCCAUACCCCUACGGGGGGCAGCAGUGGGGAAUAUUGGGCAAUGGUCGAAAGACUGACCCAGCGACUCCGCGUGAAGGAUGACGCCUUACGGGGUGUAAACUUCUUUUCUGGGGGAAGACGAAUGACGGUACCCCAGGAAUAAGGGACGGCUAACUACGUGCCAGCAGCCGCGGUAA
rnacentral:rRNA from 1 species